CCCUUAGAUGUCCUGGGCCGCACGCGCGUUACACUGAUGCAUUCAACGAGCUUAUAACCUUGGCCGAGAGGCCUGGGCAAUCUUGUUAACGUGCAUCGUGAUAGGGAUAGAUUAUUGAAAUUAUUAAUCUUGAACGAGGAAUUCCUAGUAAACGCAGAUCAUCAAUCUGCAUUGAUUACGUCCCUGCCCUUUGUACACACCGCCCGUCGCACCUACCGAUUGAAUGGUCCGGUGAAGCCUCCGGAUUGGCGCGCACCUCGGUGCCGCCGAGAAGUUGGCUAAACCUUACCAUUUAGAGGAAGGUGAAGUCGUAACA
rnacentral:rRNA from 1 species